rnacentral:lncRNA from 1 species
AUGAAACUCCAUUCCCUUAUUUCUGUUCUCCUCCUCUUUGUGACUUUAAUACCAAAAGGAAAGACUGGCGUUAUUCCAGGACAAAAACAGUGUAUUGCUUUGAAAGGGGUGUGCAGAGACAAACUAUGCAGCACACUAGAUGAUACCAUUGGUAUAUGUAAUGAAGGAAAAAAAUGUAGAAGGUGGUGGAUACUUGAGCCCUAUCCAACUCCGGUUCCCAAAGGAAAAUCUCCUUAG